rnacentral:rRNA from 1 species
AUCUAUGGCCAUGCCACCCUGAAAAAGCCAGAUGCCAUCUGAUCUCGGAAGCUAAGCAGGGUUGGGCCUUGUUAGUACUUGGAUGGGAGACCACCUAGGAAGACCAGGUGCUGUAGGCU